rnacentral:tRNA from 1 species
GCCCGGCUAGCUCAGUUGGUAGAGCAUUCGACUCUUACCGGGUCCAGCACUUCCCCCCCCCAGGGAUCUGCCAUCGAAUUGUCGUGGGUUCGAGCCCCACGUUGGGCG